rnacentral:lncRNA from 1 species
AUCCAUUCACGGUUACUUGCAAGGAUGAGAUCUGAUAGUGAUUGAUAUAAAAGAUAAGUAAAAGUGUGAAAUAACAUAAAAGUAAAUAAAUUGUAGCCAGGUAUUUUUGUGUUUUUGAUUUUAUAGAUCUGAAAAUAAUAUGAUAAAAGAUAGACCCGGGGGCCAUAGUUUCCACUAGAGGCUUCUCUCUUGAAAGAAAGCAUACGGUGGGUAAAUAAAUUAAUGUUGAGCAAUUUAUAGAAAAGCGCAUAGUUAUGAUGAUAUCUAAGGUGAUGAUCAUGUAUAUAGGCAUCACGUCCGUGGCAAAUAGACUGACUCCUGCCUGCAUCUACUACUAUUACUCCACACAUUGACCGCUAUCGAGCAUGCAUCUAGUGUAGUAAGUUAACAAGAACGGAGGAACGCCUUAAGCAAGAUGACAUGAUGUAGAGGGAUAGAUCCAGAAAAUAUGAACAAACCCCAUCUUUUUAUCCUUGAUGGCAACAAUACAAAUACGUAUCAUGUCCCUUUUGUCAAUGGGAAUGAGCACCGCCAGAUUGAAUCUAUUACAAAGCACCUCUCCCAUUGCAAGAUAAAUCAAUCUAGUUGGCCAAACCAAAUCAAUUGAUCGGAGUGAAAUGCAAAGCUAUAUAAAUGAUGCAUAAAAGAGUUCAGAGAAGACUCAAAUAAUAUUCAUAGAUAAUGUGAUCAUAAACCCACAAUUCAUUCGAUCUCAACAAACGCACCGCAAAAGAAGAUUACAUUGAAUAGAUCUCCAAGAACAUCGAGGAGAACAUUGUAUUGAAGAUCAAAGAGGGAGAAGAAGCCAUCUAGAUACUAGCUAUGGACCCGUAGGUCUGUGGUAAACUACUCACACAUCAUUGGAAUGGCAGCAAGGUUGAUGUAGAAGCUCUCCGUGCUCGAAUCCCCCUCCGAUGGAGUAUCGAGAAAGGUCCCCAUAUGUGAUCUCACGAAGACAGAAACUUGCAGCGAAGGAAAGGUAUUUUCGGUGUGACCUCUGGUCUACGGGAAUAUUUGGGUAUUUAUAGAAGAAAAAUUAGGGUUGGAUGUGCCACGGGGGGCCCACAAGCUUGAUGGUGCCCCCUCCCCCCCAGGGCACUCCCUCCGAGCUUGUGGCCAUCCCGUAGCCCUUCUGGACUCCUCCCGAAGCUUCUAGGGUGUCUUGUGGUCCUAGAAAUAUCAUCAAAAAAUUCAUUCUGUAUGGACUCCGUUUGGUAUUGAUUUUAUGUAAAGACAAAAACAAGGAUACACAACACCUAGCACUGGGCACUAGGUUAAUAGGUUAGUCCCAAAAAAUGGUAUAAAAUAGCAUAAUGAUGCAUGUAAAACAUCCAAGAUUGAUAAUAUAGUAGCAUGGAACAAUCAAAAAUUAUAGACACGUUGGAGACAUAUCAGUUGUUCAGUUUCUAACUCCCAAGUAAAGUAUACAUCAGGAAUGUAUCUACCCUCAAAUGGCGAAAUAUUCAAUGUUAGUUUAGGGAGAUGGUCAUGAUCUCAUACCUGAGGGGGUAGUGCAGCCCUACCAUUGCAAUUGUAUGCAUGUGGAUGACCUCGUGCUAGUUCUGGUGGUCAUCCUUGUAUUCAUUGUACUCCUUAAUAGUAGCAGUAGGAGUCGUAGAAGCAUCAUAGCAGUUGCAGCAGCACCAGGAUGUUGGCCUUGCUCAAGGGGAACAUGCUUCGCUUAUCCUACUUUAUCGGAGCAACGUAGAGGUGGUGGUGGUUGUUGUUGUUGUUGUUGCAAUGGUGCGACAGCUACAGCCCGUGGUGAUUAUGGGAGACGCACGAUCAUUUCGUUGAACUUGUCAUCUAGCUUUGUUUCGAACAUCUUCUCAUUGCCACCUAUCUUCUCCGUGGCCUCUUCAAAUAUGUUCAGCACAUCUUGCACCUGUCCACUCAUCAUUUGCUGAAAUUUGUCAUGUAACGCCUUGUUCAUCAUGUUCUCCAAUCAGUCUCGUCGGCUUGUGCUCCUAUCAUGGUUAGCAGUAAUAGAAACACACAAUAAUAUGAUCCUACACACUACUAGGAAGUGGUGGUGGUGGUGCGGUGGAUAGUCACAAAUCUGUCAAGCAAAACCCAAAUUCCGACCAGUCCUUACCAAGCAGCAGGCGGUGAUCGGCAACCGUUGUAGUCAAAACUCUCAAAGCUUGGAUAGAGCGAUUGCUAGGUGGUGUCAAACGCACGAUGUAAAUGUAUGUGCAGUCGGGAAGGCUUAAUAUGGUAGCAAAAAGGGUCAGCAAUAUUCAAUUCAUAGGUGCAAAGUUGAAUAAAUGCUCAACAACGGUACUAUGCUGGUCCUAAGCUAGACCGUGCUAGCGACGCGAGCCUAGAACACUAACAAAAUCACGACACUGCACGUAAACAAGGGAGGAGCACAAUUUGAAUCUCUUUUUUUUUGCUCAUUUUUUCACUUUUUUGUCUCUCUUUUUUGCUCCGCAACCAAUUUUUUUUGAAAAAGUCUACAAAUGAUCUAAAAACUUCCCAGCCAGAAUUUCCAGACUUAAUUUAAAAAAAACUAGAACUAUUUUUCUUGAAAAGGUGGCAUGGAAGAUAGGGAGUCUGACUUGGUCACGACAUGUAGUAUGGCGUGAUCUGGAAAUCAAUAGCAGAUAAGCAAAUACUAGACUCGGACUAGGAUUGGUGGCGGAGAUGAAUUUGGUGGAACUCGGAAGGGGAUAUAUAGGGGUGAUGGAACAUGGUCUUGUGUUGAAUCUGUGAUGGAGGUGGACACAAAUUGGCGUGAUGGUGAUGAAUAUGUAUGGGAGGUGUACUCUAAUUAGCGACAUGGCGGUGAAUAUGUGGUGGUGAAUACGGACUCGUAUUGGUGCGGAAUUUGUGAUGGUGGUAUAUGGCAUCGGUGAUGACGAUGGUGCGGCGGCGGCAAUAACGAUGGUGCGGCGGUUGUCGGGGUCCUGGGACCGGGGGUACCCAGGCCCGUCUGCCUGUGGCCCAUUGCGCGGCAUCGUCAAAAGGCCCGGCACGGCCCAUCGCCAAGACUUCACGUGCAAGACCCUCACGAGGCCCCCCGCCUCUCGAGGCGGACUACAUAAAGGCUUCUCGAGGUGCCUCCUGAGGGGCGGACACUUCCAGGACAGCCACCCCACCUUGCGAUGCACGUGGGUGAUGCGAGCCACGACGACUGGAGCCAGGAGAGCGCCAACGGACGCAGUCGAGGAAAGUUUCCUCUUUGGUGCUAGAGGGACAAUGCCAGCACGCGGGUUCCCAAGGAAUCCCCCGGGCUUACCUCUUCGGUGCAACAAGACCAAGACCACGGGCUUGGCAGGACGGAGGUCAUCACUGAGCCCACCAGCGCGUCACGACCAGAUGCUUUGCAGAUGAAGACCACCUUUAGUCAGGAUCGGGCGUACUCCUGUUCCCCUUCAAAUUAGCCGUAGUGGUAUCCCUUCCCGCACUAAGCCUUGGGGUAAGAGGAUCAGGGACAAUAUAAAUAUAGGCUAGUCUCCACCAUAGAGAGCAGAACUGGAUCGACUCCAUUCACCCCCCUGAGCCCUCACAAGGAAGCUCACACUUGUACAAGUUAUACUCAUCAUCCUCGCAAGGCAGUCCACCACAAAGCAGGAGUAGGGUUUUACACCGCAAGGUGGCCCGAACCUGGGUAAAUCACCCUGUCCUCACUCCUUCAAUCUCGCUUGAUCAUGAUGGAGCAUCGCCGUAAGGCAGUGUGAGGCGUGUUGUAGUCGAGUGAAGUUCUUCACGCACACCCUAGAGUUAAAACCUUUCUUUGGGUCUACGGAGCCCCAGUUCCGACAUCUGGGGCGCCAGGUAGGGGUGUGUCGAAGUUCCUUCGCUCGUUUCUGCUUUCGCUUUGCCGUUCCUAGGGCCAACGCUCGUCAUGUUUGUGCCGAGCGUCGUGCGGCUUGCGUCGCCUAGACUACACCGGCGGGCCAGCGCCGCCACUGACCCUGCUGUGCAUGAGCAGCUGGACUCUUCUCUGCCGCCCUCUGUGCAGUGCGACGCCGCACUGCCACCCCUUCUCUCACUCCAGCCACAGCUCCGUCCUCCCACGCUCGCCGCAGGGUAGAGAAUACGCAUGAUCGCUACUCAUGGUGCGCGAGCAAUUGCGCUAUUGCUCCGCCAAUCAAGGCUACAAUGCCUGGCUGGGCUGCAUCGCUGAGCUCAUUAACGCCGCAGGCCAGGCCCCAGCGCCCUCCCAAUCGCUCCGUCCACCGCCUUGUCAUCCCAUCGACGUGGCGCAUGGCUCACCACCGCCCCCCUCCUUUGCGCGGCGACAACACCAAGCCCUGGCGUGAGGCGCACCCGCGCGAGCCUCCACAUGGGGCGCCGGCCCCGGCACAGGGCACGGCCAGCUGCCAGGGUGUGCAGCAACCACUUCACGACGCGUGUGCGCUUUCCACGCCGUCGCGUCAUCACCAAGAUCGGGCCAUUCAAGAAGCUGCGGCACACGGGCGCCAGGACCGCGCCCAUCCCGCGCGAGCCAUGCCCGUGAGCGCCGCCGGCUGCCGCGCCUUCACCAGUGAGCUGUGUCGGGUGGUCUGGCCGGUCAAGUUCAAGCGGAGCUGCCACCAUGCUACGACGGCAUCCCAGACCCUACAGAGUUCCACCAACUCUAUGCGUUGAGCAUUUAAGCGGCGAACAGCGAUGACAAGAUCAAAGUCUCCUCAUCAUAGUCACUAGCGGACUCAUACCCACAAUCCUCAGUAACAAGCAUCACAUGCUUGGAUGGGCAUUCUCUCACAUAGUGACCUCCACCCUUGCAACGAUGACGUAGAACAUCAUGUGUUUGCCCUGUAGCUGCCAUGGAUGAAGAAGACCUUUGUGCAGGACCGGAAGGUGUGCUCUUGGCAGAUGGUGGUGGUGGUGCUUGUUUUCUUGUAUCACGGUUGGAGUUGGUGGCUAAAGUAGGCGGUGCUACAGCAGGACGUGUGGAAGUAGUGGAUGUAUGUGGUUUCCAUGAUGAUGACCGCCCUGCAGAAUAAUUAGUUUGCACCAAUGUCUGUCGAUCCUGCACUUCACAUUCAUCUUUGCAAGCAAGAUGGAAUAAACGAGUGAUGUUGUUAUAAUCCUUAUAUCUAAACUGGUUUGAAACACUCCAAUGAGCCCAUCCAUAAAACGUGCAAGGAUAGCUUCGUUAUCCUCAACAAAAACACAUCUAAUCAGUCCAGUUAGUAAUUCCUGAUAAUAUUCCUCUAUAGAGAUUUUCCCUUGUCUUAACCGCUCCAAUUUUGAAGUAAUUCACGUUGAUAACAUGGUGGAAACCAACGAGUACGCAUAGCAUUUUUUAAAGGAGCCUAAGUAUUAGGGAUAUUAUCAUGAUAUAAUCUACAAUGUUCAGACCACCAGACCCAAGUAAAACUAGUGAAUGCACAAACAACAACAGCAACACAUCAAUCCUCGGGAUAUUGUAAGCAUGUAAAAUAUUGUUGCUACUUAUUGAGCUUGCAUUGGUUUUUCCCUUGAAGAGGAAAGAGUGAUGCAACAAAGUAGAGAUAAGUAUUUCCCUCAGUUGAGAACCAAGGUAUCAAUCCAGUAGGAGGAACACACAAGUCUCCAAUAAUUGCACCUACACAAACAAACAAAUACUUGCACCCAAUGCGGUAAAGGGGUUGUCAAUCCCUUCACGGUACUUGCAAGGAUGAGAUCUGAUAGUGAUAGAUAUAAAAGAUAAGUAAAAGUGUGAAAUAACAUAAAAGUAAAUAAAUUAUAGCAAGGUAUUUUUGUGAUUUUGAUUUUAUAGAUCUGAAAAUAAUAUGAUAAAAGAUAGACCCGGGGGCCAUAGUUUCCACUAGAGGCUUCUCUCUUGAAAGAAAGCAUACUGUGGGUAAAUAAAUUACUGUUGAGAAAUUUAUAGAAAAGGGCAUAGUUAUGAUGAUAUCUAAGGCGAUGAUCAUGUAUAUAGGCAUCACGUCCGUGACAAAUAGACUGACUCAUGCAUGCAUCUACUACUAUUACUCCACACAUUGACCGCUAUCCAGCUUGCAUCUAGUGUAUUAAGUUAACAAGAACGGAGGAACGCCUUAAGCAAGAUGACAUGAUGUAGAGGGAUAGAUCCAAACAAUAUGAACAAACCCCAUCUUUUUAUCCUUGAUGGCAACAAUGCAAAUAAGUGUCGUGUCCCUUUUGUCAAUGGGAGUGAGCACUACAAGAUUUAACCCAUUACAAAGCACCUCUCCCAUUGCAAGAUAAAUCAAUCUAGUUGGCCAAACCAAAUCAAUUGAUCGGAGUGAA